ACGAACGCUGGCGGCGUGCUUAACACAUGCAAGUCGAACGGAAAGGCCCUGCUUUUGUGGGGUGCUCGAGUGGCGAACGGGUGAGUAACACGUGAGUAACCUGCCCUUGACUUUGGGAUAACUUCAGGAAACUGGGGCUAAUACCGGAUAGGAGCUCCUGCUGCAUGGUGGGGGUUGGAAAGUUUCGGCGGUUGGGGAUGGACUCGCGGCUUAUCAGCUUGUUGGUGGGGUAGUGGCUUACCAAGGCUUUGACGGGUAGCCGGCCUGAGAGGGUGACCGGCCACAUUGGGACUGGGAUACGGCCCAGACUCCUACGGGAGGCAGCAGUGGGGAAUAUUGCACAAGGGGCGGAAGCCUGAUGCAGCAACGCCGCGUGCGGGAUGACGGCCUUCGGGUGGUAAACCGCUUUCGCCUGUGACGAAGCGUGAGUGACGGUAAUGGGUAAAGAAGCACCGGCUAACUACGU
rnacentral:rRNA from 1 species